GACGAACGCUGGCGGCGUGCUUAACACAUGCAAGUCGAACGGAAAGGCCCUGCUUUUGUGGGUUGCUCGAGUGGCGAACGGGUGAGUAACACGUGAGUAACCUGCCCUUGACUUUGGGAUAACUUCAGGAAACUGGGGCUAAUACCGGAUAGGAUCUCCUGCUGCAUGGUGUUGGUUGGAAAGUUUCGGCGGUUGGGGAUGUACUCGCGGCUUAUCAGCUUGUUGGUGGGGUAGUGGCUUACCAAGGCUUUGACGGGUAGCCGGCCUGAGAGGGUGACCGGGCACAUUGGGACUGAGAUACGGCCCAGAAGCCUACGGGAGGCAGCAGUGGGGAAUAUUGCACAAUGAGCGGAAGCCUGAUGCAGCAACGCCGCGUGCGGGAUGACGGCCUUCGGGUUGUAAACAGCUGUCGCAUGUGACGAAGAGUGAGUGACGGUAAUGGGUAAAGAAGCACCGGCUAACUACGUG
rnacentral:rRNA from 1 species